ACAAUACUACAAAGAAGUGAGACAUGCUGUCUGGAACAUGAUGUGCUCUACUAGCUUCAUUUGGCUCCUGAACUGAUUCUGUGUCCUCUGGUUGGAGUCUUAUUUUGGAAAUGGAGAGACUGAUAUAAUCUGCCCUGCUAACUGUGAUGGCCAGUC